AGUCAUUCGGCUAUUACUGAACCAAUGAUUACCUUUGUAAUCCAAUAGAGUCUGUACUGCAUGAGGUACUUGCACAUAGAGUUCCUGUCCCAGUGUAAGCUUGUCAGCUUCUGCUACCAACAGGGCAGCGGCAGCCAAGGUGGAAGACCACUAGCCACUGCAUCCAACUGUUUGGACAUGUACGCGACAGGUCAUUGUCAUGAUCCCAAAUACUGAAUUAGUACUCCCAUAGCCAUUCUUCUUUGCUCAUGUACAUACAGAUAGAAUGGACGUGUAUGAUCAGGUAGACCUAGGGUUGGGGCACUCAUUAGUGCUUUCUUGAAAUCCUCAAAUGCCUUCUGCUGUUCAGUAGUCCAUAGGAAGGGAUCAUGUUCUAUGCCUUUUAUAGCUCAUUAUAAGGGUUUCGCCAAUAUCGCGUAAUUAGGAAUCCAUAUCCUGCAAAAUCCUGCUGCUCCUAAGAAUUCUCGCACCUGUCUUCUAUUUUUAGGUAUUGGUAUUUGACAUACCACUUCUUUCCUUUCGGGUCCCAUUAUCCUUUGACCUUCAGAGAUAUGGAAUCCUAAAUACUUGACAGUUGACUGGCACAAUUGUGCUUUCUUCCUAGAUACUUUGUAUCCUGCCUUCCAGAGAAUUUGAAGUAGAUCAUAAGUUGC